CUAAAGCAGGUGCCCAGUAUUUGCUUAAUAAACAACUUUUACAACACCUGCUGACAACAGUCAUUUCUAUUUCCUGGUUCCCUGCAGUACACCACAAAAAAUUAUACUGCUAAUUAGAUGUUAUCCUAUGCUAUGGUUUGUUCCCACCAAAACCCAUGUUGAUCUGCCACGGAAACCACACUGAGAGGUGGUGGAAGCUUUAAGAGGAAACAAGAGUACUACUGCUUCAUAGGUUGCAUGCAUGAAGGCAUUAACACAGCAGGACUCAAACUAAACAGCACCUGCUUGCAAGGUUGGCACGUGAGCAGGAUGGCAGUUCCUGAACACAAGAGCAGAAUGGUGACAGCAGAAGACACCGUAUGGGGCCGGCACUGUGGUGCAGCGGGUUAACGCCCUGGCCUGAAGCACCAGCAUCCUAUACGGGCGCCAGUUCGAGACCCAGCUGCUCCACUUCUGAUCCAGCUCUCUGCUAUGGCGUGGGAAAGCAGUGGAAGAUGGCCCAACUUCUUGAGCCCCUGCAUCCACGUGGGAGUCCCGGAAGAAGCUCCUGGCUCCUGUCUUCAGAUUGGCGCAGCUCCAGCUGUUGUGACCAACUGGGGAGUGAACCAUCGGAUAGAAGACCUCUCCCUCACUCUCUCUUUCUCUCUCUCUCUGCCUCUCCUCUCUCUGUGUGUAAC